rnacentral:rRNA from 1 species
GACGAACCGUGCGAACGUUGUUCGGAAUCACUGGGCUUAAAGGGCGCGUAGGCGGGCCACCAAGUCAGGGGUGAAAUCUUUCGGCUCAACCGGAAAAGUGCCUUUGAUACUGGUGGCCUCGAGGGAGGUAGGGGUCUGCGGAACUUCCGGUGGAGCGGUAAAAUGCGUAGAUAUCGGAAGGAACGCCGGUGGCGAAAGCGGCGGACUGGACCUCUUCUGACGCUGAGGCGCGAAAGCCAGGGGAGCAAACGGG